CGGGACCAUUUGAAGAUGCUUCGCCACACUACCACCCGGGUCAUAACGCUGCCCACAGCACCCACGAAAGCCUUGUGUGGGUGUGCUUGUUCGCGGAAGUGUUUCAGACGGCGGCUCUGGAUACAAAAGGCUGCGGGGGCCGGGCGGCGUUCCUGCGUCGUGCUCAGGUUAUAAAAGGCUUGCAGCAGGUACCCGAGGCACAGUCCGCAUCUGGUGAUCGUUGAAGACGGUCCACGCUUCCUUCCGGCACGAUGAUGAGCCGCCUCCUGCCCGUGCUGCUGCUGGUGGUGUCGCUGCUGCUGCUGCUCGUCGGCCAGCUGCCCUUCGCCGCCGCCAACCCAGUAAACCCCCAACCACACUGCAUUGUCUGUCCGGUGUGUCCACCCUGCACACAGCUGGAGGACGGCGUCUGCCGCGAAAUUUUUGGCUGCACCAAGUGAGAGGGCGAGUGUACACCACCACGAUGCACGGCCAUCCCCUCCCUGACACACACACACACACACACACCGGCAUGACGCACGACAACAAUCUCCUCCCUUACACACACACACACACACACACGAGCGCUGCGCUGCCAGGCUUCACGGUCUGACAGGACGGCGGUUCGAGCCCGCUCAGGCCGGAUUCUUUCCGUUGACUAGGAAUGGUUAUUGUACCCCCUUGAGCAAGGGGGAUGGGGUGUGUGGUGUGUGAGGUCCUGGAAAUACCCACAGAUCGACGAUAAAGAGCACUUGCUCAUGUCGGGAGGGUACCUCCUGGCGAUUACGAGUCCAACACGUGAUCAGGCCGUGGGGGUGAUAUACACACACACACACACACACAGCCAAGCAGACACCCUGUCUCCUGUAAUAAAAGUCAAGUUAAAUCCCUUAACACCUUCCUUUGUUCACCUUGGCACAACAGUUCACUUUAGGUCCUUCCCGGCAAUAAGGAAAAGUUAGGUAUUGUUGUGCAAAGAAUCAAGGCUUCAUUUUCACCUGAGGAACAACAUGUAACCUGCACCUCACCUCAGUAAACAGUAAAGAGCAAACAUGCCAGGGAAAAGAAUGCACCUGUGUAACAACUGUAUCCUCCCU